rnacentral:tRNA from 1 species
AAGAAGUUAGUUAAAAAAAUAACAUUGAGUUGUCAAUUCAAAAUUUUACAUAAGUAUUUACUUCUUU